rnacentral:rRNA from 1 species
UUGACGGUACCCUACUAGAAAGGAGCCGCUAACUUCGUGCCAGAAGCGUCGGUAAUACGGGGGCUCCAAGCGUUAUCCGGUGUUAUUGGGCGUAAAGAGUCGUGUAGGUGGUUGGGUAAGUUAUCUUUCAAAUAUCUUUGCUUAACAAAGAGGAGGGGGAUAAUACUGCUCGACUAGAAUUUUCUCAAGGGAGAUCGGAACUGAGGGAGGAGUAGUGAAAUGCGUUGAUACCCUCGGGAACACCAGUGGCGUAGGCGGAUCUCUGGGAGAAGAUUGACACUGAGACACGAAAGCUAGGGGAGCGAAGCAGAUUAGAGACCUGCGUAGUCCUAGCCGUAAACGCAUGCUUGCUAGCUGCAUGAAUCUACCUUCGGGUGGUAUCGUGUGGCGAAGGUAACCCGUUAAGCAAGCCGCCUGGAAAGUACGGCCGCAAGGCUGAAAUUCAAAGGAAUUGGCGGGGAGGCACACAACCAGUGGAACAUGUGGUUUAAUUCGAGACUAACCGAAGAACCUCACCAGGGUUUGACAUGUAGCUGCACGUCUUAAGAAAUUAAGACUCUCUUGAAGGUGCUACACAGGUGCUGCAUGGCUGUCGUCAGCUCGUUCCGUGAGGAGUGCCCUUAAGUGGGACAACGAGCGCAACCCCUAUUACAUGUUAGAAAUGUCAUGUAAGACUGCCUUGCCAUUUGGCGGGGAGGGAGGAGGGGCAGACGUCAAGUCCGCAUGGUCCUUAUGCCCUGGGCUACACACAUGUUACAAUGAGUACGGCAAUGAGUCUGUCGCGAGCACGUAAGUGUAAGCUAAUCUCUUAAAUGUACUCUCAGUGGGGAUUGAGGUCUGCAACUCGACCUCAUGAACACGGAAUUGGUAGUAAUCGCGGGUCAGCUAUACCGCGGUGAUACGUUCUUGCCUCUUGCACACACCGCCCGUCAAACCAGCAAAGU